GACGAACGCUGGCGGCGUGCUUAAAACAUGCAAGUCGAACGGAAAGGCCCUGCUUUUGUGGGGUGCUCGAGUGGCGAACGGGUGAGUAACACGUGAGUAACCUGCCCUUGACUUUGGGAUAACUUCAGGAAACUGGGGCUAAUACCGGAUAGGAGCUCCUGCUGCAUGGUGGGGGUUGGAAAGUUUCGGCGGUUGGGGAUGGACUCGCGGCUUAUCAGCUUGUUGGUGGGGUAGUGGCUUACCAAGGCUUUGACGGGUAGCCGGCCUGAGAGGGUGACCGGCCACAUUGGGACUGAGAUACGGCCCAGACUCCUACGGGAGGCAGCAGUGGGGAAUAUUGCACAAUGGGCGGAAGCCUGAUGCAGCAACGCCGCGUGCGGGAUGAAGGCCUUCGGGUUGUAAUCCGCUUUCGCCUGUGACGAAGCGUGAGUGACGGUAAUGGGUAAAGAAGCAACGGCUAACUACGUG
rnacentral:rRNA from 1 species